CAGUAGCCGCGGUAAUACGAAGGGGGCUAGCGUUGCUCGGAAUUACUGGGCGUAAAGCGUGCGUAGGCGGUGAGUUAAGUCUGCUGUGAAAUCCCCGGGCUCAACCUGGGAAUGGCAGUGGAUACUGGCUCGCUAGAGUGUGUCAGAGGAUGGUGGAAUUCCCGGUGUAGCGGUGAAAUGCGUAGAUAUGCGGAGGAACACCGAUGGCGAAGGCAGCCCCCUGGGCCAACACUGACGCUCAUGCACGAAAGCGUAGGGAGCAAACAGGAUUAGAUACCCGGGUAGUCCCUGUCUCUUAUAC
rnacentral:rRNA from 1 species